rnacentral:rRNA from 1 species
CGGGGGGCAGCAGUAGGGAAUAUUGGUCAAUGGGCGGGAGCCUGAACCAGCCAUGCCGCGUGCAGGAAGACGGCCUUAUGGGUUGUAAACUGCUUUUGUACGGGAAUAAAUCAUAUUACGUGUAAUAUGUUGAAGGUACCGUAAGAAUAAGCAUCGGCUAACUCCGUGCCAGCAGCCGCGGUAAUACGGAGGAUGCAAGCGUUAUCCGGAUUCAUUGGGUUUAAAGGGUGCGCAGGCGGACUAAUAAGUCAGUGGUGAAAUUCUACGGCUCAACUGUAGAACUGCCAUUGAUACUGUUAGACUAGAGUAUAUUUGGAGUGGGCGGAAUGUGUCAUGUAGCGGUGAAAUGCAUAGAUAUGACACAGAACACCGAUCGCGAAGGCAGCUCACUAAGAUACAACUGACGCUCAUGCACGAAAGCGUGGGGAUCAAACAGGAUUAGAUACCCUCGU